rnacentral:rRNA from 1 species
CAGCAGCCACGGUAAUACGGAGGGUGCAAGCGUUAUCCGGAUUUAUUGGGUUUAAAGGGUCCGUAGGCGGACUUAUAAGUCAGUGGUGAAAGCCUGUCGCUUAACGAUAGAACUGCCAUUGAUACUGUAAGUCUUGAGUAUAUUUGAGGUAGCUGGAAUAAGUAGUGUAGCGGUGAAAUGCAUAGAUAUUACUUAGAACACCAAUUGCGAAGGCAGGUUACCAAGAUAUAACUGACGCUGAGGGACGAAAGCGUGGGUAGCGAACAGGAUUAGAUACCCCCGUAGUCCCGUCUCUUAUACA